rnacentral:rRNA from 1 species
UACGUAGGGUGCGAGCGUUGUCCGGAAUUAUUGGGCGUAAAGAGCUCGUAGGCGGCUUGUCGCGUCGUCCGUGAAAACCCAUGGCUCAACUGUGGGCUUGCGGUCGAUACGGGCAGGCUGGAGUUCGGUAGGGGAGACUGGAAGUCCUGGUGUAGCGGUGAAAUGCGCAGAUAUCAGGAGGAACACCGGUGGCGAAGGCGGGUCUCUGGGCCGAUACUGACGCUGAGGAGCGAAAGCGUGGGGAGCGAACAGG